rnacentral:rRNA from 1 species
GACGAACGCUGGCGGCGUGCUUAACACAUGCAAGUCGAACGCUGAAGACCUGGCUUUUGUUGGGUUGGAUGAGUGGCGAACGGGUGAGUAACACGUGAGUAACCUGCCCUCUUCUUUGGGAUAACGCCCGGAAACGGGUGCUAAUACUGGAUAUUCACUGGCCUUCGCAUGGGGGUUGGUGGAAAGGUUUGUUCUGGUGGGGGAUGGGCUCGCGGCCUAUCAGCUUGUUGGUGGGGUGAUGGCCUACCAAGGCUUUGACGGGUAGCCGGCCUGAGAGGGUGACCGGUAACAUUGGGACUGAGAUACGGCCCAGACUACUACGGGAGGCAGCAGUGGGGAAUAUUGCACAAUGGGCGAAAGCCUGAUGCAGCGACGCCGCGUGAGGGAUGGAGGCCUUCGGGUUGUAAACCUCCUUCGCUCAUGGUCAAGCCGCAACUGUGGGUUGUGGUGAGGGUAGUGGGUAAAGAAGCGCCGGCUAACUACGUG